rnacentral:rRNA from 1 species
CCUACGGGAGGCAGCAGUGGGGAAUAUUGGGCAAUGGAGGAAACUCUGACCCAGCAACGCCGCGUGAAUGAUGAAGGUCUUCGGAUUGUAAAGUUCUUUUCUAAGGGAAGAAGAAAGUGACGGUACCUUAGGAAUAAGCCUCGGCUAACUACGUGCCAGCAGCCGCGGUAAUACGUAGGAGGCAAGCGUUAUCCGGAAUGACUGGGCGUAAAGGGUGCGUAGGUGGUUCAGCAAGUUAGGAGCGUAAUUCCGGAGCUCAACUUCGGCACUACUACUAAAACUGUUGGACUUGAGUGCAGGAGGGGCAGCUGGAAUUCCUAGUGUAGCGGUGGAAUGCGUAGAUAUUAGGAAGAACACCGGUGGCGAAGGCGAGUUGCUGGACUGUAACUGACACUGAGGCACGAAAGCGUGGGGAGCAAACAGGAUUAGAUACCCCUGUAGUC